ACAACUUUCAGCAACGGAUCUCUUGGCUCUCGCAUCGAUGAAGAACGCAGCGAAAUGCGAUAAGUAAUGUGAAUUGCAGAAUUCAGUGAAUCAUCGAAUCUUUGAACGCACCUUGCGCUCCUUGGUAUUCUAAGGAGCAUGCCUGUUUGAGUGUCAUG
rnacentral:rRNA from 1 species